GAACGCAGACGACAAAGAGAGCCAUCUGUUGACAGUCAUAUAUUGCAACUGUCAUGGAAUUGCUCUCUUUAUAUGCCUGUGU
rfam:Wuchereria bancrofti cont1.672, whole genome shotgun sequence.